rnacentral:rRNA from 1 species
AGUGAACGCUGGCGGUAGGCCUAACACAUGCAAGUCGAACGGCAGCACAGUAAGAGCUUGCUCUUACGGGUGGCGAGUGGCGGACGGGUGAGGAAUACAUCGGAAUCUACUUUUUCGUGGGGGAUAACGUAGGGAAACUUACGCUAAUACCGCAUACGACCUACGGGUGAAAGCAAGGGAUCUUCGGACCUUGCGCGAUUGAAUGAGCCGAUGUCGGAUUAGCUAGUUGGCGGGGUAAAGGCCCACCAAGGCGACGAUCCGUAGCUGGUCUGAGAGGAUGAUCAGCCACACUGGAACUGAGACACGGUCCAGACUCCUACGGGAGGCAGCAGUGGGGAAUAUUGGACAAUGGGCGCAAGCCUGAUCCAGCCAUACCGCGUGGGUGAAGAAGGCCUUCGGGUUGUAAAGCCCUUUUGUCGGGAAAGAAAAGCAGCAGGUUAAUACCCCGCUGUUCUGACGGUACCCAAAGAAUAAGCACCGGCUAACUUCGUG